GCACAACUUUUCUGAUGAAAUACUUCAAGCCUCCAGGCCCCUGGUAACAGAAUAACAAAGCGAUGACACACGUCCCUCAAGCUUCCAAGCAGCAACAUGGGGGCUUAACUUUUUAAUCAACGUUUUAAAAAUCACAGCGAUGUUUCUUAGCCAGAGACACUGAGCACAGCUGUGGGUGCGGUUCUCUAAGAGCCGCCCGGGUGCAGACGUGCUCACAAUCCACGACCCCCGCAGGCGGAGCCCUGGCUCCAGCCCAUCGGGCCGCGGGCUUCCCCUCCCCCGCCCCGCUCCCACCCGCAGGCCUCAGCGCUGACGUCACCGGCGCUCACGAGGCCCAGCCGACGCCCGAGGAGUCACGCGCUGCCGCUCCACCCCCACCCCCGCCGCUAGGGAGUGAUGCGCCCUCUGCAGAGAUCCCUCCGCGGCCGCCGCCUGGAAUUUUCCAGACGCUCUGCCGGCGCUUCUUUCGGACUUCUGCUGGGCAGGGGUGACCUGAGGCGACCCCCAGCAGUUCCCUUCGCUUCCAGAGAGCAGCACCAACCCGCCUCAUCCACUCCCCACCCACACCUCCCCUCAAGGAACAGGAAGCCUGCCAACCCUCGGCUCCAUCACAGGCUGAGAAGGGGAUUUCUCUCCCCAUCCUCGUCCCCGUUGGAAUCCGCCUCCCCCCCAAGACAAAGGGUUGUGAGCCUGCCUGGGGAUGAGGCCUCAUGUGGUGGAAGCUGCCCUUAGCUUCGCGGAGCUGACAGCUCUGGCCCAGGGCGGUGGCAGUGCUCCCCUUUGGACUUUUCCUCUAGGUUCUGCGCUAACCUGUUCUGCGAGCUCAC
rnacentral:lncRNA from 1 species